CUACUGGAUUUUUAGGAGAUCCGACCCACGGUGAGCUGCUUCUGCCUGGCAUUGUCCGGCGAGGGAGCUACCUGGGUCUAGGAGUGUGUGCACCUAUCU